ACGAACGCUGGCGGCGUGCCUAAUACAUGCAAGUAGAACGCUGAAGAGAGGAGCUUGCUCUUCUUGGAUGAGUUGCGAACGGGUGAGUAACGCGUAGGUAACCUGCCUUGUAGCGGGGGAUAACUAUUGGAAACGAUAGCUAAUACCGCAUAACAAUGGAUGACACAUGUCAUUUAUUUGAAAGGGGCAAUUGCUCCACUACAAGAUGGACCUGCGUUGUAUUAGCUAGUAGGUGAGGUAACGGCUCACCUAGGCGACGAUACAUAGCCGACCUGAGAGGGUGAUCGGCCACACUGGGACUGAGACACGGCCCAGACUCCUACGGGAGGCAGCAGUAGGGAAUCUUCGGCAAUGGGGGCAACCCUGACCGAGCAACGCCGCGUGAGUGAAGAAGGUUUUCGGAUCGUAAAGCUCUGUUGUAAGUCAAGAACGAGUGUGAGAGUGGAAAAUUCACACUGUGACGGUAGCUUACCAGAAAGGGACGGCUAACUACGUGCCAGCAGCCGCGGUAAUACGUAGGUCCCGAGCGUUGUCCGGAUUUAUUGGGCGUAAAGCGAGCGCAGGCGGUUUGAUAAGUCUGAAGUUAAAGGCUGUGGCUCAACCAUAGUUCGCUUUGGAAACUGUCAAACUUGAGUGCAGAAGGGGAGAGUGGAAUUCCAUGUGUAGCGGUGAAAUGCGUAGAUAUAUGGAGGAACACCGGUGGCGAAAGCGGCUCUCUGGUCUGUAACUGACGCUGAGGCUCGAAAGCGUGGGGAGCGAACAGGAUUAGAUACCCUGGUAGUCCACGCCGUAAACGAUGAGUGCUAGGUGUUGGAUCCUUUCCGGGAUUCAGUGCCGCAGCUAACGCAUUAAGCACUCCGCCUGGGGAGUACGACCGCAAGGUUGAAACUCAAAGGAAUUGACGGGGGCCCGCACAAGCGGUGGAGCAUGUGGUUUAAUUCGAAGCAACGCGAAGAACCUUACCAGGUCUUGACAUCCCGAUGCUAUUUCUAGAGAUAGAAAGUUACUUCGGUACAUCGGUGACAGGUGGUGCAUGGUUGUCGUCAGCUCGUGUCGUGAGAUGUUGGGUUAAGUCCCGCAACGAGCGCAUCCCCUAUUGUUAGUUGCCAUCAUUCAGUUGGGCACUCUAGCGAGACUGCCGGUAAUAAACCGGAGGAAGGUGGGGAUGACGUCAAAUCAUCAUGCCCCUUAUGACCUGGGCUACACACGUGCUACAAUGGUUGGUACAACGAGUUGCGAGUCGGUGACGGCAAGCUAAUCUCUUAAAGCCAAUCUCAGUUCGGAUUGUAGGCUGCAACUCGCCUACAUGAAGUCGGAAUCGCUAGUAAUCGCGGAUCAGCACGCCGCGGUGAAUACGUUCCCGGGCCUUGUACACACCGCCCGUCACACCACGAGAGUUUGUAACACCCGAAGUCGGUGAGGUAACCUUUUGGAGCCAGCCGCCUAAGGUGGGAUAGAUGAUUGGGGUG
rnacentral:rRNA from 1 species